AAAUUUAGAAGGCUUGGAGACAAUUUCACAUUGAAGGUUUAACAUCGAUUUAGACAAGACACCAUCAAAUUUAUUCCAAUGAUAUGAGUUGCUUCGUAUAAAGGUGGAUUAUUAUGAUGAUGUUGUGCUUAGCUAUAAAUGUAAUUUUCUAUCUUUACAACCUCGGAAUCACCAAGGUAAUCAUGUCUAACCUCAUACAUAACUUUGCUUAAAACACGAGGCUUAGUUAGCAAGUUAAACUUAUCAUCUCUUGUAUUAUUGUUGGACAACACUACGUAUACAAUAUUCGUUAUUGGAUACUAUAAAAUUGAAUCAGUGUUUUUGUUUACACAUGCAGAGAAAUUCAAAAUGAAUGGGUCCACUGGCUGCAAGAAGUAUCUCUGCUAAAGAGGUUUUGGCAGAGAAUAACAGUACUAAGGAGUAACUAACGAAAAAGAUAGCUAAUCUAUAGGACUUAUAAAAAAGGGUCCAAAGAUGUACUCUUAAUGACUAGACAUCCAUUCAUGUUUGGCUGGCUAGGUUGCCUAAACUCAAAUCAUUCAUUUAUUUUUCCUUACUUUAACAAAGACAGAAAAAAAGAAGAACAUAAAAUAUAUAUAUACGAAGGACAAAUCAGAGUAAAUUAAUGGCAUUUUGUAAACUGAAAAUCAUUACAUUGCUUUGCUGCUGAUUCUGUGUUCGGUACAUGUGCGUUUCAAGUGAUAACUCCUUCAAAAAAGUGCAUCAUUUCCAUUGUGUUGGAGCAUUAUACACACUUACUAGCUGUUUCUAAUCAGACUCCACAGAAGAUGUAAUAAUAUUGAUGGAUGCAAAGGAAAC
rnacentral:lncRNA from 1 species